UAUGAGUGUGAGCAUUUUACAUAACAAAAAUUAGAUCGAAAGUUGUAAAAGUUGCAUUCAAAAUAAUGUCAGUAAAAGUGUUUAUAUCAUUAAAUAAUAAAUAAUAUUGUACAUUCAAAUUUACUACUUAAUUUUUUCUGAUUGAAAAUGAGUAUUAAAAUAUCUGCAUUAUCAUCGAGUACGUCUCGUAAUUUUACGACAACUGACCCAUUUCCGAUCUCCAUAGUAACGACAGCGCUGGAUUUCCCAAAAUGACGAACAACGGAAAAUGGGCCGAAAAUGAGACGUGCUGAGGGCGGCUUUGCCACUCGCAAACGGAUUUUUUAAAUACAGAAACCAGUCAGAAGCAGAAGUUGAUUAGGGUCUAUUCAAAUACCGGUAAGAAAAAAGUAUCAGAUACAUGUAACACGCCAAACACGGUUACGGGGGCUCAUGUGGGCUGCCGCUCAUGUGUCCUGUGACUGUGUGCCGAUAUUUCGACAGUCUAUCAAGAAGUGUCGGUUUCAUAUGUCCCAGAGGCUAGACAAUGUGUUAAAUAAAAGUUUAGGAAUUAGGGUGCACAGAAUAAGGCCAAAUAUCAACGAGAAAUCAAUUCUAUCAAGAUAUGCUGAGCGAUUUAGUAAUGUUGAUAAUGUUUUUUCUUCGAGAUAUUCUUAGAGUUAUUCCCCGUUGUGAAAUAGAAAGUACAUAACCCGGCAUUUUAUAUGUAAACAAACUGCUCGGAGAUUGCAAAGAAGCUAAUCUGUAAAUUAAGUUGAAGCAAAAGUUUGAAGAAAUUUAGAUUCAGGCAGCAGAAUACGUCUACAAAUGAAGUUCGGGAAGGAACUUUGCAGGCUUCUGGAUGUGAUGUGGAGGAGUUCUCAUGAUAAAGACAAAUUACCAGCAACGAGAGGUUUUUUAUGGCCAGAGCAUAUGCUACACAUAUACUACAAAUUUUGACCAUCAAUGGAGAAAACCACUUCAACCAGACGAGAACAUAUUUACAUGUACUACCAAAGACUCCAAUUCACCCAAAAGUAAGAGAGAUAACUGGAAUUAGGACUGGAGGAAAGAAAAUGUACCACAAUGACAAAGAGUGAGGUGAAAGCAGUAAACAUUAGGACAGGUCCUACAAGCUUAAUGGAUUUUUUGUCUACCAAUGACAGUGUGGUGGAACUUGGUCGAAAUAUAAGAAAUUAUGAGGUUCCUGUACUUUUUCAUGCAUUGAUAUACUGUCUUGUGAAAUUAUGGAAAAUUCUGCAGUGAAAAGAUGUUCAGAGGAAAUUCGGGCUGAAUAUUUUCUAAAUAGCUCCACUCUUUUUUCUGAAACUUGGACUCAUUGAUUGAUUGUUGUCAUAUUUCAUGUAAAACCUAUGCAUUUUUUUGUUUCCAUUACUAUGCAUGUAGUAACAUAUAUGAAAAGGAUUCAUAUUUUUCAUAUCUUGUUGUUGGUCAAUGGACAAUAAUAACUGGCAUUGUAAGGUCAUACACUGUGAAACAUUAACUUUAUUUCUUUUUUAUUUUACAAAUGAAAGUUGUUCAGGUAUUUCAUAGAUCAUAAAAUUGUGCCAUGUUCAUAUUUUAUUUAGAUUGUUUUUAUUGAAAUGAAACUGAUUUUAGAGAAGUCGUAAGCAUGAAAAUUUUGCUGAGAAAAGCUGAUCAGAGGAAUUUCGGGCUAAAUAUUUUCAAAAUGGCUCCACUCUUUUUUUUGAAACUUGGACACAAUAAUUAAUUACUGUUACAGUUCAUGGAAACCUAUGCAUUUUUUUUAUUUCCAUUACUCUGCAUAUUGUAAAAUAUGUGAUAACAAUUCAUAUAUUUCUCAUAUUUAUUGUUUCGAAUCAUUGGAUAGUAUAGAGGACUAUGGAGGACAUUAAUGAAACAACUUUUCUUUAUUUUACAAAUGAAUAUUGUUUAAGUAAUAUAUAGUUCAUAGAAUAUUGUACCAUGCCCAUUUUCCAUUUUAGUUGUUUUUAUUGAAUUAUAAAUGGAGACAAAUUUAGAGCAGUCGUAAACACAAGAAUUUUGCAGAAAAAAGCUGAUCAGAGGAAAUUCGGGUUAAAUAUUUUCAAAACGGCUUCACUCUUUUUGCUUAAAUUUGGAAAAUUUGAUUGAUUGAUGUUAUAUUUUAUAAAAAUAAAUUGUUUUUUUCUGAUUCCAUUACUCUGUCUAUGUUUUAUAAUUUGAUUAAGAUCCACAACUUAUGUACUUUGGUCAGAAAAAAUAGACGUCAUAGGUGGCGCUGAUAUCACAGUUUAGAAUUUGUUAAAAAAAAAUAUUGGUUUUAAAUUUUAGAACAGAUGUUCCUUGUUUAAUGAAAAUUAUCAUUUCAAAAUUUUACAUAAUCUUUGACCUAUUUUUUUAAGUUGGUGUGCGGACUAUAUUUUUAAGGAAAAUAUCACAAAGAGUUACCUCCCUUAGUUUGGCAACCGCUAGGGGGCAAACGGCUACACUCUUUUUCUUUAUAUUAUAAUCAUGUAUUGCUUAUACAUAUGUGUAUCCAUUAAUACCAAAAUCAUUUGUUUUCCAUUACUUUGAUUUCACACUCGUACUAC